GGGGUUGUAGCUCAGUGGUAGAGCGCUUGUCUCACAUGUGUGAGACCUUGGGUUCAACCCCCAGCACCA
rnacentral:tRNA from 1 species